GCGGGUGUAGUUCAAUGGUAGAACAUCAGCUUCCCAAGCUGAAUACGUGGGUUCGAUUCCCAUCACCCGCUCCA
rnacentral:tRNA from 16 species